rnacentral:lncRNA from 1 species
GAGGUGGCAAAGUUUUGUUUUCAAAAGUUCUUUUAUCUAACUAUUGGUGGACGAAAUUAGAGAGAAACUGAUUGAUUGGAACGGGAAUAACAUCGGUAACUAGCGGACAAGAGGCAUUCACAUGCAAGCUCUGCAUAAAAUCAAUAAUAAUGUGUGUUUGGUUCGAAAUACAGUAUUUUAUACUAGAUCAUUGAUUGUGAUGACAAUUGAGACAUCAAACAAACGAAAAUGAUUUCUAACGAACUUAACUAACAAUAGUAAUUAACGCGGUUAAACCUUAAAAAGUUACUUCAUGCUAUGGGAAUAUGCGAACCUCAGUCCUCAAUAUCAUUAUCAUAGAUUGUUCUUAUUAUUAUUUUUGAUCAAACAUAGAUUGUUCUCAUAUUAGGAUUUCUAAAUGCUCAGUGGGAAAACAAACUUUAGGCCUAAUAUUGCUGUUAUGGUUGGCUAAGCAGUAACCACAGAACUAUCUAUCAAAUUAGGGGUAAAGCAUGAGUUUGAGACAUGAAUCGGGUUCGUGUCA